AAAAGUAAUUUAUUAGCAAUCCUGAGUUGUAACUCUCUCUCUCUCAAUUUGAUGGUUCGAGUUAGGAAAUCAGAGCAUCUUAACUAGGGCUCGAGCUUCAAAAUUAGAGGUAAUGAUAGCUAGGGAUUACUUCAAAAUUAGUUCUUUGUAAAAAUCACAAAGAGGUAAUGUGGCUUUUUAUAUUAGUUAUUUUUAACUAGUUUUAAUGCAUAUUCAAGUGUAUUUCUUUUAUGAGCUUGUUUUAUGCUCAAAUAUUGCCCAAAAGGUAGCUACUUUGGUUUGUAUUUGAGCGUGUGUAUAUAUUAAUCAUUUCCUUGACGUGCUUAGUUGGCUGGAAAGUAUGUGAAAGAUGAAGUCUGGCAUGCACUUAUCGUUGUAAUCAGCAAUGCUUCUUAUCUUCAUGGUUACGCCGUAAGAUUACUAUACAGAAUAGUCCAAAAGUCAAUUGAGAGGUAUAUAAUAUGUCGGAGUUUGUUCGACUGGAACUUGACAUGCCAGAAUUAUUAAUUUUUUAUUUCUGUACGUACUAAAAGGGCAAUUCUUUAUGUCAAUCGAGAAGUUAUUGCGCAAGUGGAUGUAUGGUGUAUUGGAGGAUAUGGUGAUAUGUUGGUGAACAUUGUUGGAACACUAGCCAUAGAGGAACCAAUAACUCAGCAGAAUUGAGGAAAGCAGAAGAGUAAUGCUAGAAAUUGAGGAACUUGGUGUUUCUAUCCGUCAUGAUUUGCACCAACAGCACCAGUCUCUCAUGCAUACCAACAACACGGAGGAGAUGAUCGAGAAAAAAGAUUGUGAUAGGGUGACAAAGGUAAUUUGCAAAUUGAGAGAGGUAAAUCCUUAUUUCAAUGACAUCAAUGUUGAAGCAUUGUUGCGUGCUACUGGGGAUGAACUUGACAAAGAGUAGGAUGAGAAUGCAGCUGCUCAAUAA